rnacentral:rRNA from 1 species
AUGGCUGUCGUCAGCUCGUGUCGUGAGAUGUUGGGUUAAGUCCCGCAACGAGCGCAACCUCGCUUAGUUGCCAGCAUUCAGUUGGGCACUCUAGAGGGACUGCCGGUGUCAAACCGGAGGAAGGUGGGGAUGACGUCAAGUCCUCAUGGCCUUUAUGUCUAGGGCUACACACGUACUACAAUGGGCGGUACAAAGGGUAGCGAUGCCGCGAGGUGAAGCCAAUCCCAAAAAGCCGUCCACAGUUCGGAUUGGAGUCUGCAACUCGACUCCAUGAAGCCGGAAUCGCUAGUAAUCGUGGAUCAGCAUGCCACGGUGAAUACGUUCCCGGGCCUU